rnacentral:rRNA from 1 species
CUGCCCAGUGAGUAUAAUUAAACGGCCGCGGAACCCUAACCGUGCAAAGGUAGCAUAAUCACUUGCCUAUUAAUUGUAGGCUAGAAUGAACGGAUAAACGAAAUAGACACUGUCUCAAUUAGUAAACUAAAAAUUAACAUGUGCAUGAAGAGUUGCACAUAGGAUCGAAGGACAAGAAGACCCUAUAGAGCUUUAUUUUCAUUGUAGAUCAGACUUCAUAUAGAAUUCGGUUGGGGCGACCAAGGACAUAAUAAGUAACACCCUACAAAAAAAGGAUAAAUAUAUCUAUAAAAUGACCCUAUACAAAGACCAUAAAAACAAGCUACCUUAGGGAUAACAGGCUAAUCCUAUUAAAGAGUCCAUAUCUACAAUAGGGUUUGGCACCUCGAUGUUGGCUUAGGGCAUCAAUACGACGCAAAAGUUGUAUAAAGAUGGUUUGUUCAACCAGUAAUUCCCU